UACGGGGGGGGCAAGCGUUGUUCGGAAUUACUGGGCGUAAAGGGCUCGUAGGCGGCCAACUAAGUCGGAUGUGAAAUCCCCAGGCUCAACUUGGGAACUGCAUCCGAUACUGGAUGGCUUGAAUUCGGGAGAGGGAUGCAGAAUUCCAGGUGUAGCGGUGAAAUGCGUAGAUAUCUGGAGGAAUACCGGUGGCGAAGGCGGCAUCCUGGACCGACAUUGACGCUGAGGAGCGAAAGCUGGGGGAGCAAACGGG
rnacentral:rRNA from 1 species